rnacentral:rRNA from 1 species
GAUGAACGCUGGCGGCGUGCCUAAUACAUGCAAGUCGAGCGAACGGACGAGAAGCUUGCUUCUCUGAUGUUAGCGGCGGACGGGUGAGUAACACGUGGAUAACCUACCUAUAAGACUGGGAUAACUUCGGGAAACCGGAGCUAAUACCGGAUGAUAUUUUGAACCGCAUGGUUCAAAAGUGAAAGACGGUCUUGCUGUCACUUAUAGAUGGAUCCGCGCUGCAUUAGCUAGUUGGUAAGGUAAUGGCUUACCAAGGCAACGAUGCAUAGCCGACCUGAGAGGGUGAUCGGCCACACUGAAACUGAGACACGGUCCAGACUCCUACGGGAGGCAGCAGUAGGGAAUCUUCCGCAAUGGGCGAAAGCCUGACGGAGCAACGCCGCGUGAGUGAUGAAGGUCUUCGGAUCGUAAAACUCUGUUAUUAGGGAAGAACAUAUGUGUAAGUAACUGUGCACAUCUUGACGGUACCUAAUCAGAAAGCCACGGCUAACUACGUG